GGAGCCUGUGAUGAGCUAAAGUUAUCCCUGUCUGAAUACAGCUGUGGAAUAUAUUACCUCUGAAGGCUCA